AGAGCGAACGCUGGCGGCAGGCCUAACACAUGCAAGUCGAACGCCCCUUCGGGGGAGUGGCGGACGGGUGAGUAACGCGUGGGAAUGUGCCCUUUGGUACGGAACAACUGCGGGAAACUUCAGCUAAUACCGUAUGUGCCCUUCGGGGGAAAGAUUUAUCGCCAUUGGAGCAGCCCGCGUUGGAUUAGGUAGUUGGUGGGGUAAAGGCCUACCAAGCCUACGAUCCAUAGCUGGUCUGAGAGGAUGAUCAGCCACACUGGGACUGAGACACGGCCCAGACUCCUACGGGAGGCAGCAGUGGGGAAUCUUGCGCAAUGGGCGAAAGCCUGACGCAGCCAUGCCGCGUGUAUGAUGAAGGUCUUAGGAUUGUAAAAUACUUUCACCGGGGAAGAUAAUGACGGUACCGGAGAAGAAGCCCCGGCUAACUUCGUGCCAGCAGCCGC
rnacentral:rRNA from 1 species